rnacentral:rRNA from 1 species
CCUACGGGUGGCUGCAGUGAGGAAUAUUGGUCAAUGGACGAGAGUCUGAACCAGCCAAGUAGCGUGAAGGAUGACUGCCCUAUGGGUUGUAAACUUCUUUUAUAAGGGAAUAAAAUGUUCCACGUGUGGGAUGUUGUAUGUACCAUAUGAAUAAGGAUCGGCUAACUCCGUGCCAGCAGCCGCGGUAAUACGGAGGAUCCGAGCGUUAUCCGGAUUUAUUGGGUUUAAAGGGAGCGUAGGUGGAUUGUUAAGUCAGUUGUGAAAGUUUGCGGCUCAACCGUAAAAUUGCAGUUGAAACUGGCAGUCGUGAGUACAGGAGAGGUGGGCGGAAUGCGUGGUGUAGCGGUGAAAUGCUUAGAUAUCACGAAGAACUCCGAUUGCGAAGGCAGCUCACUGGACUGCAACUGACACUGAGGCUCGAAAGUGUGGGUAUCAAACAGGAUUAGAUACCCUUGUAGUC